rnacentral:rRNA from 1 species
GAACGCUAGCUACAGGCUUAACACAUGCAAGUCGAGGGGCAUCAGGAAGAAAGCUUGCUUUCUUUGCUGGCGACCGGCGCACGGGUGAGUAACACGUAUCCAACCUGCCCUUUACUCGGGGAUAGCCUUUCGAAAGAAAGAUUAAUACCCGAUAGCAUAAUGAUUCCGCAUGGUUUCAUUAUUAAAGGAUUCCGGUAAAGGAUGGGGAUGCGUUCCAUUAGGUUGUUGGUGAGGUAACGGCCCACCAAGCCUUCGAUGGAUAGGGGUUCUGAGAGGAAGGUCCCCCACAUUGGAACUGAGACACGGUCCAAACUCCUACGGGAGGCAGCAGUGAGGAAUAUUGGUCAAUGGGCGCUAGCCUGAACCAGCCAAGUAGCGUGAAGGAUGAAGGCUCUAUGGGUCGUAAACUUCUUUUAUAUAAGAAUAAAGUGCAGUAUGUAUACUGUUUUGUAUGUAUUAUAUGAAUAAGGAUCGGCUAACUCCGUGCCAGCAGCCGCGGUAAUACGGAGGAUCCGAGCGUUAUCCGGAUUUAUUGGGUUUAAAGGGAGCGUAGGUGGACUGGUAAGUCAGUUGUGAAAGUUUGCGGCUCAACCGUAAAAUUGCAGUUGAUACUGUCAGUCUUGAGUACAGUAGAGGUGGGCGGAAUUCGUGGUGUAGCGGUGAAAUGCUUAGAUAUCACGAAGAACUCCGAUUGCGAAGGCAGCUCACUGGACUGCAACUGACACUGAUGCUCGAAAGUGUGGGUAUCAAACAGGAUUAGAUACCCUGGUAGUCCACACAGUAAACGAUGAAUACUCGCUGUUUGCGAUAUACAGUAAGCGGCCAAGCGAAAGCAUUAAGUAUUCCACCUGGGGAGUACGCCGGCAACGGUGAAACUCAAAGGAAUUGACGGGGGCCCGCACAAGCGGAGGAACAUGUGGUUUAAUUCGAUGAUACGCGAGGAACCUUACCCGGGCUUAAAUUGCAGUGGAAUGAUGUGGAAACAUGUCAGUGAGCAAUCACCGCUGUGAAGGUGCUGCAUGGUUGUCGUCAGCUCGUGCCGUGAGGUGUCGGCUUAAGUGCCAUAACGAGCGCAACCCUUAUCUUUAGUUACUAACAGGUUAUGCUGAGGACUCUGGAGAGACUGCCGUCGUAAGAUGUGAGGAAGGUGGGGAUGACGUCAAAUCAGCACGGCCCUUACGUCCGGGGCUACACACGUGUUACAAUGGGGGGUACAGAAGGCAGCUAGCGGGUGACCGUAUGCUAAUCCCAAAAGCCUCUCUCAGUUCGGAUCGAAGUCUGCAACCCGACUUCGUGAAGCUGGAUUCGCUAGUAAUCGCGCAUCAGCCACGGCGCGGUGAAUACGUUCCCGGGCCUUGUACACACCGCCCGUCAAGCCAUGGGAGCCGGGGGUACCUGAAGUACGUAACCGCAAGGAUCGUCCUAGGGUAAAACUGGUGA